CGCGAACCGGGACGCACGGAUCCUUGGACCGCACGACGGUCGCCCCUCCAGCUCCGGCAACGCACGAACGCCGCUCUGGAAGAGGUCCGAGGGGAGCGAGUGGCGAGACCGACCCGGCCCGAC
rnacentral:ncRNA from 1 species